AUGGCCAAGACUUGUGCUAAAGCUAAAGACUUCUUCGGAAUUAUCCAACGCAUAUAUACUAUAUUUGCUAAUUCUACUAAGAAGUGGCAUAUUCUGAAGGAGAACAUCACUGGAUUAACUCCCAAGUCAGUGUCAGCUACACGUUGGGAGAGUCGUGUUGACAGUGUUAAAGCUAUUCGACUUCAAUGUGCAGAGAUUCGGGAGGCCCUACUUCAGGUACCCAAUUUUUUCAUAUUAUAA
rnacentral:rRNA from 1 species